rnacentral:rRNA from 1 species
CACGGGGGGAGCAAGCGUUGUUCGGAAUCACUGGGCGUAAAGGGCGUGUAGGCGGUCAGGUAAGUGGAAUGUGAAAUCCCUCGGCUCACCCGAGGACCUGCAUCCCAAACUGCCUGGCUUGAGUAUGGGAGAGGAUGAGGGAAUUCCUGGUGUAGCGGUGAAAUGCGUAGAUAUCAGGAGGAACACCGGUGGCGAAGGCGCUCAUCUGGCCCAAUACUGACGCUGAGGCGCGAAAGCUAGGGGAGCAAACAGG